rnacentral:rRNA from 1 species
AUGCUCAAGCUUGUGCUACACUUUUGGAGCGACGAGGAUUGUGUAAAAAUCUUAACCCAGUGCAAGAAGGCCAUUCCUCCACGCGACGAGGGAGGAAAGGUGAUUAUCAUAGACAUCGUGAUUGGACCUUCCUUAGGACCAAUAAUGUUUGAAGCCCAACUCUUGAUGGAUAUGCUCAUGAUGGUGAACACAAGAGGAGCCCAACGGAGUGAAAAUGACUGGCGCAAGCUAUUCGUGGAAGCAGGGUUCAAAGACUAUAAAAUUGUGAAGAAGCUGGGGGCUCGAUGCGUUAUCGAGGUCUACCCCUAA